CCGGUUUGAACUCCAUUGGAUCCUGCCAGACGUGUUUGUUAUGAUGGAGGCCGAAUAACUGGAGGGUAACGGUCGUUCCGGCUGUAAAAUAAGGUUAGUUAUGAUCGAGAUGUUAUUGAUAUUGUUAUGAUGGAGGCCGAAUAACUGGAGGGUAACGGUCGUUCCGGCUGUAAAAUAAGGUUAGUUAUGAUCGAGAUGUUAUUGAUAUUGUUAUGAUGGAGGCCGAAUAACUGGAGGGUAACGGUCGUUCCGGCUGUAAAAUAAGGUUAGUUAUGAUCGAGAUGUUAUUGAUAUUGUUAUGAUGGAGGCCGAAUAACUGGAGGGAAACGGUCGUUCCGGCUGUAAAAUAAGGUUAGUUAUGAUCGAGAUGUUAUUGAUAUUGUUAUGAAGUCUUCCGAGCAUGUUUCUUAGAUAAUCUUUACACCAUGGUGUCAGAUUGUCACACAAUAUGACCGUUAAAAAUUUUAGUAAAAUUUAUCAUCGAACGAUUUAUUCAUUUUUUUAUGCAAAAGGAUAAGACAGGAAAACACGGUACAAUAAACA